AUGGGCUUCUGCUCGACGACGUGUAGGAUGCAUCCAACAUGGUGCCGCUUCUCAGAGACAUAACUUAUUUAGUUUGCCACCGUUCAUAUUACAGAUGUGGGGGUGUUUAUUACAGACAGGCGAGGGGUUCCAAUUGGCAGCCCUGUGGCUGGUCCCCUUGCGGAGGUCCUCCUCGGAGAGGUGGAGAGGUCUGUGCUCACCUCCCUAUAGCCCAGAUUCGGGCUCUUCUUCUGUUGUGUUGUUGAUAUUAUUAUUGUUUUGCAGGACCAAAUAAUCACGGAGGACUUAGUACAGGCCCUCACGCUUCCCACAUAUGGACUGAAAUUAAAACCUGAAUAGCCACAGAGUCCAUUUUCUGGAUAUGCGCCUGGAAUUGAGAGAGGGCCAAGUUAUCUCGGU
rnacentral:lncRNA from 1 species